rnacentral:lncRNA from 1 species
UACCAUCAUGCCCACACAAUUUUUGUUUUUCUUCUAAUUAAGAAUUUUCAAACAAUUUCUUUUUUUUGUUAUUAAGAAUUUUCAAACAAUAAAUCCCAUGGAUGCUACACAUAAAGGGUCUAUUACCUCAACUAGCUUAAAGACAUAAUUAGACAAAUUAUUAAGCUUAAUGAUUUUUGCACACAGAACAGGUCAUGCUGAAUAAUCUGUUUCACAAACACCCUCUCUCUCCAUGUGUCGAUCUCUUAGCUUCACAUAUGCAGACAGCAUGCUAGAAACCUGUGUCAGCAACACAUAAUUUUUCAAGUUAACAUCAUUCUUUUGAAAUGAUGACACAACUAAAUUUAAAUUUUGAUUAUAGAUACACAAAUAGUUCUUAUAAAUGGAAACACAAGGAGAAUGUUUUAAGUAGAAUAAAAAAUUCAGAAGAAAGGAAAGGUAAUAAUUAAGAAGUUCGAAUGAGAAACACCAUAAGAAUAAGACCUUAAAUCAGUCAUGAUUCACAAAAUAAAUAGAGGAGCAGUAACUCAGACACAUCAUACAUUGCCAAUGUUAAAGAAAAGAUCAAAUAAAAAUAAAAAAGAUUCUAACUACUUUGGCACCCAAUUUGAACUUUUCUUUCUAUUUGGAAAAGGAGCGUAGAGAUUCAAAUCUCUCGUUCCUCUCCUAGAGGAAAUUCGUCCAAUUCUAAAAUAAUAGCUUAGAAGGCAUCAAAAUUCAACCGAAUAACAUCGAGAUCCAAUCCCAAAACCAACAAAAACUACUUACCGCACAAACCUAAUAGUAAUAUGCUUCUGAAUUAGGAGAAGAAGACUGUUG